rnacentral:lncRNA from 1 species
UACUGAUGUUGGGAUAUCGCUCCUAAAACAAAGCACCCUGAAGCCAAGGCCCAGAGCUGUUUUUUUCAUUUUUGCCUCAAAUUACAGAAAGGAAUAGUUUUUAAGACCUGCUGAGGACUUCAGUGUGGGUAGGGAAGAUGGAGGAAAAAAGAGAGGGAAAGAGAAAUUUUCAAAAUUAAUUAUUGAUGGCUACUCAGUGGACCUCUUAACACCUUGAGGCAUUUUAAAUGCCUGAAAAGGAGACGCUGCUUAUAAAAAUGCUGUGUAUCUUCCCUGCAGGUGGAUCAAAGACGAAGACGUUCCGACUCUCCUUCAACCAGGCAUUCAGUGCCCAAAGGAAACUGAAACUCGGGGUCAGCCAGCGUCUGCGGCUCUGUUAACACCCCCAGCUCCCGGUGAGCUGAGCUCCCGCUCUGCAACCAGGCACCGAGGGCCGGGCCGCGUCCACCAGGUGGCAAUGCAGAACGCGAAGAGCCGCCCCGAGCCCAGCUCCAUCUGGCCGGCCAGGAAUCCGCAGGAGUGGGCCUGAGAGUGUACUGCUGGCUCCCGGCAGGCUUCCGCCUCUUCUCGGGGCAUCCCGGCCUCUACUUCUACCGCGGAUAGGCUGGCCUUUAAAAUCACUAACAUCCUUGACUGGCAGUGCAGCUGAGCGGAGCUGGGGAAGGUCAAAGCCGCGGUGCCCUCUGGAUCUAUCCAGGAGCUUGGCCGUGUGUUCACUCAACGGAUAAAAGCAGCAGUGCCUGCUCAUCUUCAGGGGAUGCUUACAAAGUGCCCAGGGGAUGCUGGAAACCACAGAUCUUACCAAACCCUAUAUAUACCAUGCUUCUUCCUAAACAUACAUACCUAAGGUGAGAUCAAAAUACAUGGUGUUUAAAUUUUUUACAAAUUAUUACAGAGAGACAUAUUCCCAUUAAUUCCCCUAAAAAUCCUCCCCCUUGUUUCAACCACAGGUAUCCCAUCUCCAUGCCACUUUCUGCAGCAGUUCGGGAAGCCUUCUUUCAUAUCUUUAUUAGGUGCAAUAAAAAAUACGGUAAAUGCUGCUGCUGAGGGCCUUCCAGCAGAAAGGCAGGCUCAUAAAAACAUUCAGUGCGUCCUCAACCAUCUUAUUCAUCACAUCUGGCACCCUGAGGCUUCCGGCUCUUCCCCAAAGUCAAAAUGACCAUGAAAAGGAAACAUUUUGAAUGGAUUCAGGACAUCAAGGCAGCCAUGAAGAUGUAGCUAAAGACACUCGCGAAAGAGGACUUCCAGAAGUGCUUCAGAAAGGGCCGAGAACGAUGGGAUAAGUGUGUUUGAAGCAAGAGGGAUAUUUUGAGGAGGAUUAAUGACCAUAUGUCUUCACUAUAGUUAUUUUUUCUUAAUUUAAACAUUCAUUUUAUCAUGCCUCAUGAUAAAGUUUAACUUCUAAAUUAGGCACGGUAAGAGGUCUGCAGCAAUAACUAAUAAUAAAAUAGAGCAACUGUAACAAUAUGCUGCAGUAAAAGUUGUGUGAAUGUGAUUCCUCUCUACGCAUGUUGCUGUGCCGUGCUUGGCC